rnacentral:rRNA from 1 species
UGUGAACUGCAGGACACAUGAACAUCGAUAGGUUGAACGCAUAUUGCGCAUCGUGCGACACAGUACGAUGCACAUAUCUUUGAGCGUCCAUAUGUUUAUACCAUUCAAACUACGCGCGUCAGAGCAUGUAUUUGCUCAGGCGACCGUGCUUCUUGGGGAGGCAGUUCGCCAAACGUCUCCCUUAAAACCGUGAAGCGUGUUCACUCGUCUUCCGCGUCCGUCACUAGAGACUAGCGGUGGGCCAGCACCUCACCUUUUGACUGCAAAGUUAAGGUUUGUAGCGUGCUCGUGCUCCAUUCGUUGGGAACGACGGAACGAGGACGGGAGAACAGUCUGCUUUCACACCGCUCUAAACGAACACUCCAUAGCCUGGAGACAUGGACCUCAAAUGAUGUGUGACUACCCCCUGAAUUUAAGCAUA